AGGCUUUGAUCCUGGCUCAGAAUGAACGUUGGCGGCGUGGAUUAGGCAUGCGAGUCGCGCGAGAAUGUAGCAAUACAGGAAAGCGGCGAAAGGGAGAGGACAACAUGGGAAUCUGCCCGGGGGUCGGGGAUAGCGUCGGGAAACUGGCGGUAAUACUCGAUAAUGUUUACGGACCAAAGGUUUACUGCCCCUGGAUGAGCCCAUGCCCCAUUAGCUAGUUGGCGGUGUAAUAGACCACCAAGGCGAUGAUGGGUAGCUGGUGUGAGAGCACGACCAGCCUCACUGGCACUGAGACACUGGCCAGACACCUACGGGUGGCUGCAGUCGAGAAUCUUCGGCAAUGGACGAAAGUCUGACCGAGCGACGCCGCGUGCGGGACGAAGGCCUUCGGGUUGUAAACCGCUGUCGAGGGGGAUUAAGGGCAACUUGAAAGAACCUCUGGUAGGAAGGAGAGGGAUA
rnacentral:rRNA from 1 species